rnacentral:misc_RNA from 1 species
CAUAAAAAUGCUUAAACAUUACUAAGGGAAACGAUACUUAUUUAGCUAACACACCCCAGGAACAAACGCUUACAAGUUAACUUGAAUCACAGACAGAUAUUUCAAACACUCCUUUGAAACCAACAGAAUUGAACUAGCUAGUUCGACAGAAAGAAAAAAGAAAAAAAUAUAUAUGUUUUUAGGCACACUGGAAAUCAGAUGGAACCUUCUUGCUACAGACAUUGAGAAGCAAGCUCAGAGAAAGUGGAAUGUUAAGAUUGAUGCCCAAGAUGUUAGCUUUGAUGGCUGUGCAAAGGCAAACAGCAGCCUCAAGAUCGAGAAGGCCUUGGAUGAGAGAGCAGCAAGGUUCUACUGGAGGUUUGCCAAUGGUGAGAUUCAGCAAUGAACCCAGCAAAUUGGCACAUACGCCUAGUUUAAGUGCAUCCCUAGGGCAUUUUCCGUUGGAAGGUGAUGGAGUUGGUGUUGGCCUUGGUGAUGGGUUUGGUUUUGGCUUAGGAGAUGGGCAGCCCCCACCACAUGCAGAGACUAGGGAAAAGAAGAGAAGGUUGAGGGCGAAAAAGAGAGCAAGUGAUGCUUUGCUUUUAGAAGCCAUCUCAAACUCUAACAGCUUAUGUGAAUUAUGCUAGUGAUUAUGGUGACUAGCUAUAAGCUAUAGCAGAGUGUAUUGUGAUGGAUGGAGAGAUAUGCAGUGAAGGGUGGGUUUAUAUAGGGCUUUUGGAGGAGAGUCUUGAGUCUGAUGUUAACAGGAAAUAAUUGAGAGAAAAU